UUGUGACCAUUUGCAAAUUAUGUUUCUUCCGGAAGUCCAAGUUCCCUGGGACAUUCAUAGAACGUAUCAACUGCCAAAACUUGAGGUGUAUUUUGAAGAUGUAGAAAGGAAUUCGUUAAUUUUUGUAAAACAAACCACCACUCUCGCUCAAGCUCUGUCUCAUCAAAGAUAUGUGGUAUAUGGAGGAAUACCGUCAUUUAUUAUCAUGGUCAAGGGUUCAUCCUUUAUAGAAGCAUUCAAAGAGAAAUACAGAGGAUGAUUUUAAAUGAUGGAAAAUGAUUUUAACUCACUGGAGUCUCUCAAUAUGAUAUUGACUGUGGAAUAAUUGAUGAUUUUAACCUUCUUAAGUACAGUUGCCAAUUGGCAACAAUAACAAAAUGAAACUGAAUCGAAAAAUUUUACUGUUUAAAGGUUAAAAUCACAGUUUUCAACAAGAUUAAGACGUUUACAAGAAUACAAUGACAGCAAACUAAAUUGGGUUACCUUUAUUUCACUAUCCAGCGAAUAAUUACAUGAAUGACACAGUACCAAAUGAAAAUAGCUAAUAAAAGCACUCAAAACAAAUAAACAAAAUUUACCAUAGUACUUAAAUGUAAAAUAAGCGCUUCGUGAGCGUUUACGUAAUCUGAAACAAUGUUUUGUACAUGUUUGUAUCAGUAUAUGCAUAUUUUAAUUUCAAUGAAAUAAGGUUUAAUAGGUUUUA